rnacentral:rRNA from 1 species
CCCAACCCCAUCGUCAUCCUUGCCAGUCGGUCCUUCGUCAGGGGAGCCCCCACCUACCGGCGUUGACAUGUCACGAGGCC